rnacentral:rRNA from 1 species
CUAGUUGCACGAGUUCAGACUCGUAGCAGAUAGCUCAGUAACACGUGGCCAAACUACCCUAUGGAUCCGAAUAACCUCGGGAAACUGAGGCUAAUUCGGAAUACGAUUCCCACGCUGGAACUGCGGGGAAUCCGAAACGUUACGGCGCCAUAGGAUGUGGCUGCGGCCGAUUAGGUAGACGGUGGGGUAACGGCCCACCGUGCCGAUAAUCGGUACGGGUUGUGAGAGCAAGAGCCCGGAGACGGUAUCUGAGACAAGAUACCGGGCCCUACGGGGCGCAGCAGGCGCGAAACCUUUACACUGCACGCGAGUGCGAUAAGGGGACUCCAAGUGCGAGGGCAUAUCGUCCUCGCUUUUCGCGACCGUAAGGUGGUCGCAGAAUAAGUGCUGGGCAAGACCGGUGCCAGCCGCCGCGGUAAUACCGGCAGCACGAGUGAUGACCGCUAUUAUUGGGCCUAAAGCGUCCGUAGCUGGCCGUGCAAGUCCAUCGGGAAAUCCGCGCGCUUAACGCGCGGGCGUCCGGUGGAAACUGUUCGGCUU